rnacentral:rRNA from 1 species
UACGAAGGGGGCUAGCGUUGCUCGGAAUCACUGGGCGUAAAGGGCGCGUAGGCGGCCAUUCAAGUCGGGGGGUGAAAGCCUGUGGCUCAACCACAGAAUUGCCUUCGAUACUGUUUGGCUUGAGUUUGGUAGAGGUUGGUGGAACUGCGAGUGUAGAGGUGAAAUUCGUAGAUAUUCGUCAAGAACACCAGUGGCGAAGGCGGCCAACUGGACCAACACUGACGCUGAGGCGGCGGAAAGCGUGG